AUUAAUGACACAAAAAGUCAUAUAAUCAAAUAAAAAAAAUAUUUCAUUUCAGUGGCUUUACAGAAAUAACCAAAGAACUUGGAGACCUUCUUAAAUGAUGUAGAGUUUACACUGAAGGAGGGGUUCUUAAAGGAUGUAGGUCAAGAUACAUCACCCACAGCCAGUAAAUAGGUGUGCUCAUCAACAGGUCAAGAUACAUCGCCCACAGCUGGUCAGGAGGUGUGCUCAUCGGCAGGUCAAGAUACAUCACCCACAGCUAGUCAAGAUGUGUGGCCAUCAGCACAUCAAGAUACAUUCCCUACAGCCAGUCAAGAGGUUUGCUCAUCAGAACGUCAAGAUACAUCACACACAGCCAGUCAGGAGGUGAACCUUAGGAAAUACACUGCAACAUUAAGCCAGAAGCAUGGACGAAGAUGACCACACUAUAUCAGAUGAGGAUGAAGAGGAAUUUGAGGGAAAGAGAAAAAGGAAGCCCCCCAAAAAGGCUGCAAAACGUCAGAAAUUCACAGAGGUAGAAACAGAGGAAAUAAAAACUUACUUUAGUGAAUAUCUAAAAAGUGGAAUUUGUCGGCGGAAACCGCAGGUUGAACAUGCCAAACAGAAAAGUCGUAAAAAAAAUGG